rnacentral:lncRNA from 13 species
AUGCUGGUGGGGGGCUGCCUGCCAAGAUGGUGCUCAGAGGUGGUCCUGAGUGGGGAGGAGGACGGUGCCUCCUGGGAGCUUGGGGCUGGACAUCAAGUACAGGGUGAGGCAGGAGAAGCUGGGCUCCUGGCAGGGGAUGCCCAGGGUGAGUGGCAGGGUUGCAGCCUGUGGGACUUCACAGGCCUGCUUGGCAGUGGGGAGCCACAGUUGGCUUGGGAGCAGGAUGGGGAGCUGCCAGCCGGACAGCUCUCCCUGGCUCUGAGGGGCAGGGAGCUUGGUGGGGUGAGGCUGGAUGCAGGAGGGGCCUUGGGAAAGAGCUCCGAGGGGUCAGGCUGGCCAGGCAGGAGUGCCUUGAGGAGGCAGAGCCCAGCAUCACCCACCCAGGUGGUUUGCCUGGCUUCCUUUAUUAAGUCCCUGCUGUGUGCCUGGCCUAGGCCCAGAGCUGACAUGUCUCACCUCCAUCAAGCCCCUGUCCGUGACACCCCUUCCAGUGGCACUUUUACUGUUCCCCAUUUUGCAGACAGGGUUGGGGUGGGAGGCGAGGGGCUGCAGGCAGGCCCGGCCCUUGCCUCCUCCUCCUGGCCCCCUGGCCAGAAGAUGGGAGAACCUCGGGCUUGGCCAGUGCCAGCCAUGGAGACUGGCUUCCUCAGGGACACGCCCAGUGUCCACAAGGGGCCAUCUGAGGGCAGGCGAUGGGGGAGGGGAGCCUGGCAGAGGAGGUGGGUGCCCAGGAAGCAGGAGCAGCCCCUCCCCCAGCCACCCCCAGCAGAUGCUCCUGGCACCUAUUGGACCCCGAGGACCUUAAUAAGGGAGCCCAAUUUGGAGACAAAGCCCUGCUCUGCGGACACACACUCUCGGCUGUCCUCAGCCAGAGUAGCCAGGCAGCCGCGGCGAGGCCACAAAGGGCCCGAAGAAAGGGGCUGCGGGAGGGGCCGUGAAUGGGCCAGGGCUGCACAUGCCACCGUUACCCGGGCGACGGCCCUCUCUCGGAGAGGUCUGCCGGGCCAUUGUCCGGGGCCUGCAGGACGUGCCACACACCAGAUGGUCGUGUGCUGUCUAGGUCACUUAUCGGGGGACAGAGUGAAGGAAUGUGGCCGGCAUGGCGGGCUGAGGCGCCAUCUGUUCCCUCAGUCCACGGGCACCAGCGGGCAUUGA